GGGGAUUUGGCUCAAUGGUAGAGCGCUUGCCUAGCAAGCACAAGGCCCUGGGUUCGGUCCCCAGCUCUG
rfam:Rattus norvegicus chromosome 1, whole genome shotgun sequence.